GACGAACGCUGGCGGCGUGCUUAACACAUGCAAGUCGAACGGAAAGGCCCUGCUUUUGUGGGGUGCUCGAGUGGCGAACGGGUGAGUAACACGUGAGUAACCUGCCCUUGACUUUGGGAUAACUUCAGGAAACUGGGGCUAAUACCGGAUAGGAGCUCCUGCUGCAUGGUGGGGGUUGGAAAGUUUCGGCGGUUGGGGAUGGACUCGCGGCUUAUCAGCUUGUUGGUGGGGUAGUGGCUUACCAAGGCUUUGACGGGUAGCCGGCCUGAGAGGGUGACCGGCCACAUUGGGACUGAGAUACGGCCCAGACUCCUACGGGAGGCAGCAGUGGGGAAUAUUGCACAAUGGGCGGAAGCCUGAUGCAGCAACGCCGCGUGCGGGAUGACGGCCUUCGGGUUGUAAACCGCUUUCGCCUGUGACGAAGCGUGAGUGACGGUAAUGGGUAAAGAAGCACCGGCUAACUACGUGCCAGCAGCCGCGGUGAUACGUAGGGUGCGAGCGUUGUCCGGAUUUAUUGGGCGUAAAGGGCUCGUAGGUGGUUGAUCGCGUCGGAAGUGUAAUCUUGGGGCUUAACCCUGAGCGUGCUUUCGAUACGGGUCGACUUGAGGAAGGUAGGGGAGAAUGGAAUUCCUGGUGGAGCGGUGGAAUGCGCAGAUAUCAGGAGGAACACCAGUGGCGAAGGCGGUUCUCUGGGCCUUUCCUGACGCUGAGGAGCGAAAGCGUGGGGAGCGAACAGGCUUAGAUACCCUGGUAGUCCACGCUGUAAACGGUGGGUACUAGGUGUGGGGUCCAUUCCACGGGUUCCGUGCCGUAGCUAACGCUUUAAGUACCCCGCCUGGGGAGUACGGCCGCAAGGCUAAAACUCAAAGGAAUUGACGGGGCCCCGCACAAGCGGCGGAGCAUGCGGAUUAAUUCGAUGCAACGCGUAGAACCUUACCUGGGUUUGACAUGGAUCGGGAGUGCUCAGAGAUGGGUGUGCCUCUUUUGGGGUCGGUUCACAGGUGGUGCAUGGCUGUCGUCAGCUCGUGUCGUGAGAUGUUGGGUUAAGUCCCGCAACGAGCGCAACCCUUGUUCACUGUUGCCAGCACGUUAUGGUGGGGACUCAGUGGAGACCGCCGGGGUCAACUCGGAGGAAGGUGGGGAUAACGUCAAGUCAUCAUGCCCCUUAUGUCCAGGGCUUCACGCAUGCUACAAUGGCUGGUACAGAGAGUGGCGAGCCUGCGAGGGUGAGCGAAUCUCGGAAAGCCGGUCUCAGUUCGGAUUGGGGUCUGCAACUCGACCUCAUGAAGUCGGAGUCGCUAGUAAUCGCAGAUCAGCAACGCUGCGGUGAAUACGUUCCCGGG
rnacentral:rRNA from 1 species